UGGCGAGCGUUAUCCGGAAUGAUUGGGCGUAAAGGGUGCGUAGGCGGCCUGCUAAGUCUGGAGUGAAAGGUACCGGCUCAACCGGUACAGGCUCUGGAAACUGGCGGGCUAGAGAGCAGGAGAGGGCGGUGGAACUCCAUGUGUAGCGGUAAAAUGCGUAGAUAUAUGGAAGAACACCAGUGGCGAAGGCGGCCGCCUGGCCUGUUGACUGACGCUGAGGCACGAAAGCGUGGGGAGCA
rnacentral:rRNA from 1 species